AAAAUGCCUGGAAAAUGGGGAGACAGUUGCGAUAAAGAAGGUUUUACAAGAUCGUAGAUACAAGAAUCGUGAACUACAGUUGAUGCGUACUAUGGAUAACCCAAAUGUUGUUUCUUUGAAGCAUUGCUUCUAUUCGACUACUAGUAAAAAUGAGCUUUUUCUCAAUUUGGUGAUGGAAUAUGUCCCGGAAACCAUGUAUCGCAUGUUGAAGCAUUACAGCAAUAUGAACCAAAGAAUGCCACUCAUCUAUGUUAAG
rnacentral:misc_RNA from 1 species